rnacentral:rRNA from 1 species
AUUGAACGCUGGCGGCAGGCCUAACACAUGCAAGUCGAGCGGAUGAAGGGAGCUUGCUCCUGGAUUCAGCGGCGGACGGGUGAGUAAUGCCUAGGAAUCUGCCUGGUAGUGGGGGAUAACGUCCGGAAACGGGCGCUAAUACCGCAUACGUCCUGAGGGAGAAAGUGGGGGAUCUUCGGACCUCACGCUAUCAGAUGAGCCUAGGUCGGUUAGCUAGUUGGUGGGGUAAAGGCCUACCAAGGCGACGAUCCGUAACUGGUCUGAGAGGAUGAUCAGUCACACUGGAACUGAGACACGGUCCAGACUCCUACGGGAGGCAGCAGUGGGGAAUAUUGGACAAUGGGCGAAAGCCUGAUCCAGCCAUGCCGCGUGUGUGAAGAAGGUCUUCGGAUUGUAAAGCACUUUAAGUUGGGAGGAAGGGCAGUAAGUUAAUACCUUGCUGUUUUGACGUUACCAACAGAAUAAGCACCGGCUAACUUCGUG